GCCGGGCGCGGUGGUUCACGCCUGUAAUCCCAGCACUUUGGGAGGCCGAGGCGGGUGGAUCACCUGAGGUCAGGAGUUCGAGACCAGCCUGACCAAUAUGGUGAGACCCCAUCUCUA
rfam:Pongo abelii chromosome 4.